AUACCGUUCUUUUAUACAUUUAUUUAUGUUUAUACUAUACUUUUUAGAUGCCUUUGUGUAAAAGAAACUGGUUGAAAUGUAAAAAAAGCUACUUGGAAUGUCUAUAAUAUCAUGUGUCUUCGUAUGUUUACACCUGCUUGAAGGAAAGAGUAAAUCAUUUCCUGAGAACCCCACAGUUGUAUAGCUAGUUCCACCUCUGAUCUGCUCUGAAGCAUUUAACCUCUCUUAACCUUGGUUUCCUUAUUUAGAGGAAGUGGCUGUUGAGCCUUACCUAAAUCAUAAAUGAACAUGAACUCCAGUGAGGAUUGAAGAAUGAAUGAAGGAAUGAAUGUGCUUAAUUUAGUGGUCUAACACAUAGCAAAUGUAAAAAUAUAAUGGUCUAACAUAGACCUUAAUAUAAUUUUCUAAUACAUGGUGACAUCCAGAUUUUCAGUUCAUUUUCAUCGAGUGGGAUCCACUUUUUCCAGCAAUUAAGCGAAAAGGCUUUUCCAGUGAAUGGAUCUUUCUUUAGCACAUCAGAAAUACGAAUGUUAA